GGAGGACGAGCGAGCGAAGCUUGCAGAAGCAUUAGAGAUCGUCGCUGGCCUUUGGAAACGAAGGCAUGUGCACGUCUCGACCCUCUGCUCGGUCCUCGUUCUCUUUCCUUUCGUAAAUCUUUGACACCCGUGCACCUCUUGUAGGUCCCUGAGAGGGGACCUAUGUCUUCAUAAACUCUUCGUAUGUCCAGGAAUGUAUCUAAAGCGUCGACCGGCUUGGCUGAACGUCCAGUCGGCGACGGUAAAGAACGUAAUACAACUUUCAGCAACGGAUCUCUUGGCUCUCGCAUCGAUGAAGAACGCAGCGAAUUGCGAUAAGUAAUGUGAAUUGCAGAUUUUCAGUGAAUCAUCGAAUCUUUGAACGCACCUUGCGCUCCUUGGUAUUCCGAGGAGCAUGCCUGUUUGAGUGUCAUUUAAUUCUCAACCAUCCCUCGAUUGAUUUUUUUCGAGGUUUGGCUUGGAUUUUGGGAGCUGCCGGCGACCGGAUCGGGUCCUUGGCUCUCCUCAAAAGCAUUAGCGACGGUGGUGUGACCUCCCCCGUGCAUGAACGGCCUUCGACGUGAUAAUGAUCGUCGUGGGCUGGAGUGCUAGCGGGCGUCGCGUCGCGUUCGGCGCUUCUAAUUCUCGUCGAAAGACGAAAUAUAUCGAAACUUGACCUCAAAUCAGGUAGGACUACCCGCUGAACUUAAGCAUAUCA
rnacentral:rRNA from 1 species